UACAGAGGUCCCAAGCGUUGUUCGGAUUCACUGGGCGUAAAGGGUGCGUAGGUGGUCGGGUAAGUCCGAUGUGAAAUCUCCCAGGCUUAACCUGGAAAUGGCAUUGGAUACUAUUCGGCUUGAGGAGUGGAGGGGGGACUGGAAUUCUCGGUGUAGCAGUGAAAUGCGUAGAUAUCGAGAGGAACACCAGUGGCGAAGGCGAGUCCCUGGACACUUCCUGACACUGAGGCACGAAAGCUAGGGGAGCAAACAGG
rnacentral:rRNA from 1 species